GAUGAACGCUGGCGGCGUGCCUAAUACAUGCGAGUCGAGCGAACAGACGAGGAGCUUGCUCCUCUGACGUUAGCGGCGGACGGGUGAGUAACACCUGGAUAACCUACCUAUAAGACUGGGAUAACUUCGGGAAACCGGAGCUAAUACCGGAUAAUAUAUUGAACCGCAUGGUUCAAUAGUGAAAGACGGUUUUGCUGUCACUUAUAGAUGGAUCCGCGCCGCAUUAGCUAGUUGGUAAGGUAACGGCUUACCAAGGCGACGAUGCGUAGCCGACCUGAGAGGGUGAUCGGCCACACUGGAACUGAGACACGGUCCAGACUCCUACGGGAGGCAGCAGUAGGGAAUCUUCCGCAAUGGGCGAAAGCUUGACGGAGCAACGCCGCGUGAGUGAUGAAGGUCUUCGGAUCGUAAAACUCUGUUAUUAGGGAAGAACAAAUGUGUAAGUAACUAUGCACGUCUUGACGGUACCUAAUCAGAAAGCCACGGCUAACUACGUG
rnacentral:rRNA from 1 species